AUGUUUUGCCUUUUCUUUUGCUCAUUGUUCCCUAAAGCCACAUAUUUGUUUUAUGAUUUUCCACCUUCACAUGCCAUUUCUUCUUAUUCUCCCCAGAUGCCUCAUUGCUAUGUCUCUCCCUUUUUUCUCCAGCAUCUUACUUGCUGUUGGAAGUCUGGCUUGACCCAAUGUGAGGCCCUCUUCUCCAUUCCAGAUCCAGGACACCAUUCCCUGAAGGAGCCAUCAGGGGCCUGUGGGAUAGAGGCCAUUGCUGGGGAUGCCCUGAUAGAGGUCCUUCAACAAAUAACAAGUAAGAGGCUGCAGUUUCUGCAACGAGAGAUGAUGGGGCUGAAAUGUCAGCAGGACAGACCAGGAUGGAAGAUCAAUCACGGAGCGGUUCCCCAUGCUGUGAGCUCCCCCAGGCAAAGGCUGUACCUUUUGUUUUCCUCAGCACCUCUCUUAGAACCCAGAACAAUGUCCAGAGGAGAACAGGCAUUCAGACCCUAUUUCCAUCUCUAUUCUGGGACCAUGUGGAAUCAGAGAUAAAUUAG
ensembl:lncRNA